AGAACCACUUGGACUACCCACAUGUAGUUUUGGCUCUCUUGAACAGGGUUGUUUUAGACGACUGAUACCUGUGACCAGGGAGAAGGUCCAAGACAAAUUAGAGUGCCUACUGGCAGUGGAAGUGUCAGCCUCCACAUGCCCACUGCCCUAAUAGGACUGGGUAACCAGUCCCUCAUGCCUGCCAUCUGCAACUAUGGUGGUUUGCGCCCAAUCCUUACCCGCACAAUGCUUCUGUUCUUCAGGCUGGCAUGGCGGCUCUACAAAAAAUUUCCCUCUUUCUAUGUCAUGAUUUCAGUGUUGCUAAAUGUGCGCAUGCAGCUUCAUAUUGAACUGCUCUGAAGAUCAUCUCCUAAUUGAAGGAAUCACCCCAGGCUUACCUUGUUGAAGAAUUUGAAACAUGACUAGAAGAAGAACCAUAACUACCAGCCUGGCAACAGAAAAGAAGUCCAGAGGAGAUGAAGUUAAACUAUUAUGCAGCCGUAAGAAAAGAACACCAAAAGGAAGCCUGCACUCAGCAGUACCACCUUCCUGGAUGAAUCAUCCUUCAAUAGAUAAAGAACAAAAGACAAACACUCACUGCAUGUUCCCAGCUUCGAAAAAAUAUCUUGAUGUUGGGUUGUCCCAUGAAUUUUGGAAUAUUCUAGCGAGAGAUGGCCCAGAGAAAAAACCAACAGCAUUAAAGAGCCAUGGAGGACAUUUCCUCAAAGGAGUGCCUGCAUGUCACAAUAACCAGACCCAACAGAAUCUUGAGAAAUGAAAUAUUUAAGCAUGAUCCAACCAAGGGCUUAUCUUGUUGGGCCAAAUACUGAAUCAGAAUUAUCUUACCUGCUUUCUGCGCUGUUCUAAGCUGUUCACAAUGUUGCAUGCUUAUCUUAAAGUUCUCCUGAAAGAUGAUCAAAAUGUGGAAGUUUUGUUGGUGACCAUUAAAGUACAGAAUUUCAAGGCAAAUAAUAGAGUUAAAAAAAAAAAAACAAACAUAUGGAAUACAGAUAAUACUAGGAUUCCUGGCUGUAAUGACUUUUAAUAUCAGUAAUAUCUUCUGUUGUGGGUGAGGGACCAGAAAAAGAAUAAAAAUGGAUUAUUGU
rnacentral:lncRNA from 1 species